rnacentral:rRNA from 1 species
CACGUGCAAGUCGAACGGGAUCCAUUGGUGCUUGCACUUUUGGUGAGAGUGGCGAACGGGUGAGUAACACGUGAGUAACCUGCCCUUUUCUUUGGGAUAAGCCUGGGAGACUGGGUCUAAUACUGGAUGUUCCGGCUUCCUCGCAUGGGGUUGUUGGGAAAGGUUUUUUCUGGAUUGGGAUGGGCUCGCGGCUUAUCAGCUUGUUGGUGGGGUGAUGGCUUACCAAGGCUUUGACGGGUAGCCGGCCUGAGAGGGUGGUCGGUCACACUGGGACUGAGAUACGGCCCAGACUCCUACGGGAGGCAGCAGUGGGGGAUAUUGCACAAUGGACGCAAGUCUGAUGCAGCGACGUCGUGUGGGGGAUGAAGGCCUUCGGGUUGUAAACUCCUUUCGCCUGCGGAAAAGGCAGGGUUUUGGCCUUGUUGAUGGUAGUGGGUAAAGAAGCGCCGGCUAACUACGUGCCAGCAGCCGCGGUAAUACGUAGGGCGCGAGCGUUGUCCGGAAUUAUUGGGCGUAAAGGGCUCGUAGGCGGUUUGUCGCGUCUAGCGUUUAAGGCUCGGGCUUAACCCGGGUUUGCGUUGGGUACGGGCAGGCUUGAGUGCGGUAGGGGUAACUGGAAUUCCUGGUGUAGCGGUGGAAUGCGCAGAUAUCAGGAGGAACACCGGUGGCGAAGGCGGGUUAC